rnacentral:rRNA from 1 species
GUGUACGGCCGUACCCGUCUGAAAGUGCCAGAUCUAACCUGAUCUCAGAUGCUAAGCAAGAGCCAGGCCUGGUAAGUACAUGUGUGAGAAGAGACUGUUUCAAAAUACUGGAUGCAGUCAGCU